rnacentral:rRNA from 1 species
UACGGAGGGGGCUAGCGUUGUUCGGAAUUACUGGGCGUAAAGCGCACGUAGGCGGCUUUGUAAGUUAGAGGUGAAAGCCCGGGGCUCAACUCCGGAAUUGCCUUUAAGACUGCAUCGCUAGAAUUGUGGAGAGGUAAGUGGAAUUCCACGUGUAGCGGUGAAAUGCGUAGAGAUGAUGGAGGAACACCAGUGGCGAAGGCGGCUCACUGGCCCGGUACUGACGCUGAGAUACGAAAGCGUGGGGAGCAAACAGG